rnacentral:misc_RNA from 1 species
CAUGAUGCCCUGUGCUAGUCGCUAUACACGCGUAGCUCACAGUGCCAGUGCCAGACAGGUUGUCCCACUGCCUCGUCUGCUCUACUGAUGCCAAGCUUCUCCAUCCAGCCAUGUUCAGGCUACAGGCAGCGGCAGUGCUGGUUAUGGCGGCGCUGCUGACGGAGGGAAUCACGCCGCCGUCACGAAGGUUUCACAUCGGGGGCGUCCUGCACAACAACCACACACAGGAACACUUCACCAGGGCUCUGAGGAGAAUAAAUUUUGACGGAGUGUCGGUUGCGGAGCAGACGACGCUGUACGACGUGACUACUGUCCUGCGCGGGAGCCCUAUUACCGCCGCCCUUCAGGUCUGCCAGGCCCUUAUCUCUCAGGCUGUGUACGGGGUGGUGGUGUCUAGUCCCCCUGGCGGAUCCGUCACCACAGCUGCCGUGUCCUACACCUGCGGGUUCUACCACAUCCCCGUCAUCUGCACCCACACCAGGGACUCUGCCUUCUCCAACAAGAACAUCCAUGUGUCGCUGUUGAGGACGGUGCCGCCAUAUAGUCACCAGGCGGACGUGUGGGUGCGCCUCCUGAAGAACCUCCAGUACCGCCAGGUUAUUCUCCUUCACUCCUCUGACACGGACGGCCGUGCUCUCUACACCCGCUUCCAGAGCCUCGCUCAGCACCGCCAUGACGAAAAGGGCAUCAAGUUGGUAUCUGUAAUAGAGUUCGCACCCGGUAAGGAGUCCUUCACCGAGGAACUGAUCAGCAUCCGUCAGGAGCUGGUCAAAGUUAUCCUGCUGUACGCAAAGGAGCCUGACGCGGAGAGGAUCUUUAAGAGCGCAGCCUCUCUCAACCUGACAGAGGCCGGGUACGUGUGGCUGGUGACUGAAGAGGCCCUCCAAGCCCACCACGUCCCCGUCGGCGCCCUGGGCCUCCGGCUUAGUCACGCCGAUGACUACGAGGCCCAUAUCACCGACAGUCUGCGCGUGAUGUCGCUGGCGCUGCGACGGCUGCACGAAACCCAGGAGGUGAUCCCGGAGCCGCCGGUCACCUGCGACGCUGAGGGCGGCUGGGACCACACCGGCUCCACUCUCUUCAGACUGAUGCAGGAGCAGGUACUUAUUGACGGACACACAGGUAAGGUGGCCUUUGACGUCAACGGGGAUCGAACCCAUGCUGAUUACUCCCUCCUUAACGUCCAGGACCAACACCAGGACCACCUCGUCUUCAGGAACCUUCAACACGUCGGAGAGUUCUCCUACGACAAGGCUAGUGACCAGAUGACGCUGGAGGUGAACAUGUCGAUGAUAGUGUGGCCAGGAGGCUCGUCCGUCGCCCCGCCUGGGUACUCCCUUCCCACACACCUCAAUGUGAUGACCAUCCAGGAGACGCCCUUCGUGUACGCUGAGGCCAUCAGUUCAGAGGAUGAGUGUGUAGCCUCUGAUGAAGAGCUUUGUCCGCGCCUCAACACCACCACCGGAGAGAUGGAGAAGAUGUGUUGCUGGGGGUACUGUAUAGACCUCUUGCACACCCUCACUGCCAGGAAUGGCUUCACGUUCAACCUCACCCUCUCCCCAGACGGCCUGUACGGCGAGCGCAGGGAGAACCAAGAAGGAAAGAAGGAGUGGAACGGGAUGAUUGGGCAGCUGGUGAACCAGAGUGCGGGCGUCGACAUGAUCAUGGCGCCGCUCACCAUCAAUCCCGAGCGCUCCCAGGCCCUGCACUUCACCAAGCCCUUCAAGUACCACGGGAUCACCAUUCUCAUUAAGAGGACGCCCGUGGUGCCGGCCCUCGUGUCCAUCCUGCAGCCCUUCCACGGGACCCUGUGGCUCCUCCUGUUGGUCACCGUCCACGUCAUUGCUGUCGUCAUCUGGCUCCUGGACCGUCUCAGCCCCGUCUACAAGCUGGAGGGCGCCGAGACGGACUCCCUGGUACUCUCUGAGUCCUUCUGGUUCUCCUGGUCUGUCAUCCUCAACAGCGGACUCACAGAGGGUACCCCGAGGUGUGUGAGUGGGCGGGUGCUGGGCAUAGUGUGGGGAGGCUUCGCCAUGAUCAUGGUGGCCUCCUAUACGGCCAACCUCGCCGCCUUCCUCGUCCUCGACGCCCCCUCCACCACCAUCACAGGCAUCAGCGACGCCAGGCUGAGAAACCCUGUAGAGAACUUCACGUUCGCGACAGUGAGGGGGUCGGCGGUGGACAUGUUCUUCCGGCGGAAGACGGAGUGGUCCAACAUGUACCGCGUCAUGGAGGCCCAUAACUACCCCUCUGUUGACCUCGCCCUCCACGCCCUCCGUCAAGGGAGCCUGCAGGCGUUCAUAUGGGAGAGCUCACGCCUGGAGUACGAAGCCUCACGGGACUGUAGCUUGGUCACCGUCGGGGAGCUCUUCGGCCGCUCAGGUUACGGGGUCGGCCUGCAGAAGGGGUCACCCUGGGCAGACAAGAUCACUCUAGAUAUCCUCGAUCUUCACGAGAGAGGCUACAUGGAAGACCUGGACAAAGUGUGGAUCUGGAACGAUGGAGAGAUAUGCGACGAGGACCAUAAAGACGCGGACUUCUCAAAGCGUCUAGGACUGAAGAACCUGGAGGGUAUAUUCAUCAUGAUCGCCGGCGGCAUCUUCAGCGGCACCAUCCUUGUUCUGGGCGAGAUUAUAUACGACCGCUGCAAGAGUCGGGAGCCGCAGAGCCAGAGCGAGCAGGACCUCGCAGAGCACCCAACAACACCUGAAGACGACGCUACUGCUGGUGGCGACCUUGAGAAUACAGGGGCGCUAGAGAGUCACGACCCAAGCAGAAGUGCAUCCUAUGGGAGACAAGAGCUGCUCGUCAACUGGGGACCAUCACUGUCACCCACUAGGGGACAAUUGCUACCACCCCGAGGAGGACCAACACGAUCACCCCAUGAAGAACAACUGCUAUGACUCCACAGGGGAACAGACAUGCCGCCUCACAAGGAACCAGGGCUUCCAUCCCACGGGGGAACAGUGCUGCCUCUCCACAGCUCUCGUGUCAACAGCCAACAGCGGCAUAUCGUCUACUGCCAACACAUUCAACACUAUGACCCAGAGACCCCGGCGUCAGUGUUCCACUGAGGACCAAACUCUCCUAUUGGACGUUGAGGAUAGGCUUAAGAACAGUCCCCACAUCCCCGAGGAGUG